rnacentral:rRNA from 1 species
AUGCUCUUCAUCCUCGCCAUUGACCCUCUCCAACAGAUCCUACAGCUCACUUCCCGACGCGGCAUCCUCAAACCCAUUUGUGCAAGAACGGCCAGAUGUAGGAUCUCCCUUUACGCUGACGAUGCGGGCAUCUUCGCGAACCCAGACAAGGAUGAGCUCCACGCGAUUUCUGCAAUCCUGAAGACCUUCGGGGAGGCUAGCGGACUGAUCACAAACUUGAGCAAAACCGAGGUCUUCCCGAUCAGAUGUGCCGGCAUUGACCUCCAAGAUGUGCUUUCAUCCUUCCCUGCCAAGAUCGCCUCCUUCCCGGGACGCUACUUGGGGCUACCCCUACAUUUUCGCCGCCUUAAGGGGGUUGAUCUGCAACCCUUCAUCGAUAAGUUCGCAGGCAGACUACCAGGAUGGAAUGGAAAGCUUCUCAACAAGCCUGGCAGGGUGGCACUCGCUCAGUCGGUCCUCACGGCCAUGGCCACCUUCCACAUCACAGCUCUCAAUCUGUCGAAGGGGACGCUUAGAAAGAUUGACAAAAUCAUUCGGGCCUUCAUUUGGCAAAAAGAGGACCAAGCUCAGACUUCGGGCGGUCACUGCUCCCUUGUUAACUGGAAAACCGUUUGCCGUCCAAGGCAUCUGGGCAGCCUUGGGAUCAUGGACCUGGAGAGAUUUAGCCGCGCCCCGCGCCUCCGGUGGCCUUGGCUGCUAUGGACUGACCCAGACAGGCCAUGGGUGGGAUCGGAGCUGCCGUGUGACGAAUCAGAUAUGAGCCUCUUUCGCGCAUGUACCUCGAUUACGCUGGGCAAUGGGCACAAGGCGCUGUUCUGGCAUGACAACUGG